GACAAGUGAGAAAGGGAAUCAAUACUCUGAAAUCAAAACAGAUUUCUGGUAAGUUAAAGAAAAGCUCAUAACUCAGCAAGUAUUUACCCAAAAUUUCCCAAAUUUUACAAGAUGGUUAUUUAGGUAAUUUUUGAUAAGUUUGGUAUUCAGAGGACGAGCUGGAACAGAUUCUAUCAAGGUGAUCUACUCAGGUUUUUAACGGGGGGGUACAUCCUGGAAGUUUCAGAACAGUGCGGAAAAAAACUGAGCAUAACUCUUAAACCAGUGAUCCCAAAAUUUGGAUAUUUUACCAGAAUGCUCUUUAGAUGAUGUCCAACAAGUUUGGUAUUCAAAUUUUUAGCUGAAAUAAGGUCUAGGAAGGUGAUAACUAUAAUUCUCACAGAGGGGUUCGUUCUGGAAUUUUCAGAAAUAGUGCAGGAAUAAAUAUACCAUAUAUCUUAAACCGUUGAUCCAUUUGAGCUGAAAUUUUACCAAAAUGUUCUCUGC
rnacentral:lncRNA from 1 species